UUACGGUCAAAUCACGCUGAAACACCGGUUCUCGUAUGAUCACCGAAGUUAAGCAUCGUAGAGCCAGCAUCAAUUAGUACUUAGAUGGGGGACCGGGGAACACCUGGUAAUGUAAG